UACGUAGGGGGCAAGCGUUGUCCGGAUUUAUUGGGCGUAAAGAGCGUGUAGGCGGCUUUACAGGUCCGUUGUGAAAACUCGAGGCUCAACCUCGAGACGCCGGUGGAAACCGUGAGGCUAGAGUCCUGAAGAGGAGAGUGGAAUUCCUGGUGUAGCGGUGAAAUGCGCAGAUAUCAGGAGGAACACCCGUGGCGAAAGCGGCUCUCUGGGACGGUACUGACGCUGAGACGCGAAAGCGUGGGGAGCAAACAGG
rnacentral:rRNA from 1 species